rnacentral:lncRNA from 1 species
CCCUCUGGGAUGAGCCACUGGAGGACAUCCUCCAGAAGCUUGAUUCCUUCCCUCCCGUACUUACGUGGCCAGCAAGCAGUGCUGCAGAAGCUGACAUGAACUUCUGAAUGAAUCAACUAAGGGAGAAAGAGUAUUUUUUCAAGUGUCUCCAUAUACAUUUGUCCUGGCAGGUGCUCCCUUACUCACAACUCCUGAACUUGCCGUAGGGGAGGCAUACACAGCUCAGCAGAGGAAAGGACAAGAGCCGGUGAAUCCCAGCACACGGCCAGGGCUACACGGGACCCCUGCACAGCCCCACGCACACGGGAGCCGGGCACACUGCCCCUGCCGCAGCCUCGAAAAUUGUCACCUAAAAACCUCUCCUCGCACCCACCUAACAAUUUAGCUAAAAUCUCGGGCACAGACAGCAAAGUGACUCCUCGGUGGAAGGAAAGAAGGAAGAAGGAAAGGAGCGGGGCGGAACAGAGGAGCGGCUGCGGAGCAGCGAUCCGUGCUGCCAGCCCGGGAUGUGCCCGAAUUCCUUCGCAGGGGCGAGGAGCCGCCCGGGCCGCCGGGGAGCGGGCUCUGGGAGCCCUGGGGACCC